rnacentral:RNase_P_RNA from 1 species
CAGGUUGGCCGGGCGGUCGCGGGCCCCGUUGUGGGCCUGAGGAAAGUCCGCGCUCCACAGGGCAGGGUGCUGGCUAACGGCCAGACGGGGCAACCCGAUGGACAGUGCAACAGAGAGGUAAAUUGCCACCAUUGGUGGUGAGGGUGAAACGGUGCGGUAAGAGCGCACCAGCGAGCCUGGUGACAGGUUCGGCUCGGCAAACCCCACCCGGAGCAAGGCCAAGCAGAGACCAGGUGCGGCCCGCACCUUAGGAGUCUCGGGUAGGCUGCUUGAGGCGGCUGGCAACAGCCGUCCCAGAUAGAUGAUCGCCCAUGCGACCUUAGGUCGCUGGACAGAACGCGGCUUAUAGGCCGACCUGAACG